ACCAGGAACGCCCGUGAAGCGAGCGCUGCUGCCAGCGAUGUCAGAGAAGCGAUGUCGUUGUUUACAAUGAAUUAGCAGAACUGUUUUACCUUAAAAAUAAAUUUGGUCCGUCUGCCAUCGUUACAAGUUACAACGUUAGAUACUUAGAUGAAUGCUUCGUAUAAGUAAAUCGAUUAUUUUGUUGUAUCUACCAACAAUGAUCCUAUUUUCUUCCCCCACUGAAUUAUUAUUUCUUUGACAGUAACUGCUAAAGCAAAACUUCUACUACAUGAUAAAAAAUAUGUUAAAUCAAUUUACCUUUUGCAAAACAGAGACGUGCUUGGCUUGAAGUAUACAAAGAACAGCUCUUGCUAGAAACCAAGCAAAAAACGGGACAGGACUGAAGAAUAUGAUGACUUGAUUUGCAUCGUACCGAAGACAUUGCUGGCCGGAAAUUGAUGAGUCCAUGGAUGAGUCCAUGAUGGACUUGGAGAAUGAGGCAGUGCUACGGAACGACUGCGAGAAGGAAGCCGUGCUGCGGAAUGAAUUCUGCCAAAUUGUAUCAUUAUAGGGGGGUUGUGUAUCAUAAAUUAAAAAUCUUGUGCCAAGGAAGUUAGACCUGCAAAUUGGUCAUACAUGCUACUGUUGCCUAGUAGUUUAUUCCAUUUUUUGCAGCUUAGUUUAUGUUUCAAUUCCAAGUUUAUUUGUUGAUGUAUCUUUGUAACAAUUUUUUUAUAGAGGAAUAAGGAAGCAAAAGGAUAUAGACAUACGGUUAUAAAGUUUUGGGAUCUACUCAGCCUAGUGUACAAUAAAGACCAAGCAAAUGGAGAGGGUGCUAAAACAGCAGCUGAAAGUUCAAAGGAAAUGACAAAAGAGAAUGAUACCGGAGGCAAGGAUGCUCCAUAUUCUGUAUCUUCCUCGAGUAGUUUAAAAAGACAAAGAUCAGAUGAUUCAUUUAACUCUAUAUGGUGUGAUAAGUUCGACAUGCUUACAUCUGCAUUGAAAGAUGACGGUCCAAAGCUACCCUCUUCCGCCGAAUUUCUCGCCGCAUUACAAGAGGUUGAGGGACUUGAUGAAGACACAGAACUUGAGCUUUAGGACAUCCUCACCUCUAAUGCACGCAAGUUUGAGUCGAUGAUAGCACUCCCAAUGGAAAGGAGGAAGAGGUGGCUUAUGAUGCAGCUAAGGAAGUGAAACAACUUAUAUGUGAACUUAGAUCUCUUUGUUGAACUGAUUGUGUGAACUUGUCUUUGUGAAACUUUUGUGUGUGAACUUGAUGGCUAUGUGAAACUGUUGUGUGCGAACUUGAUGGCUCUAUGAAACUACUAUGUGAAGAUUUGAUGUCUUUGUAGAACUUUUAUGUGCGAAUUUGAUGACUUUGUAAAACUGUUAUGUGUGACUUGCCUUUGUGGAAUUGUUAUUUGUGAA